GAUGAACGCUGGCGGCGUGCCUAAUACAUGCAAGUCGAGCGAACAGACGAGGAGCUUGCUCCUCUGACGUUAGCGGCGGACGGGUGAGUAACACGUGGAUAACCUACCUAUAAGACUGGGAUAACUUCGGGAAACCGGAGCUAAUACCGGAUAAUAUAUUGAACCGCAUGGUUCAAUAGUGAAAGACGGUUUUGCUGUCACUUAUAGAUGGAUCCGCGCCGCAUUAGCUAGUUGGUAAGGUAACGGCUUACCAAGGCGACGAUGCGUAGCCGACCUGAGAGGGUGAUCGACCACACUGGAACUGAGACACGGUCCAGACUCCUACGGGAGACAGCAGUAGGGAAUCUUCCGCAAUGGGCGAAAGCCUGACGGAGCAACGCCGCGUGAGUGAUGAAGGUCUUCGGAUCGUAAAACUCUGUUAUUAGGGAAGAACAAAUGUGUAAGUAACUAUGCACGUCUUGACGGUACCUAAUCAGAAAGCCACGGCUAACUACGUG
rnacentral:rRNA from 1 species